AUGUUGGGGAUCCAUUGGGGACACACUGGGGAUGUGUUGGGGACACAGCAAGGACACAUUGGGGACACGUUGGGGACACACAAGAGGACACACUGGGGACACACUAAGGAUAUGUUGGGGACACAAUGGGGACACGUUGGGGACACAUUGAGAAUGCGAUGGGGACACAAUGGGGACACAAUGGGGACACUGGGGCCAUGUUCAGGACACGUUGGGGACAUUGGGGACCCAUCAGGGACACAUUGCAGAUUGUUGAGGACGUGUUGGGGACACUUGGGGACACGCCAGCCCAGUGCCAUCCUGCUUUUGUUGCAGUGCCACCCCGCUGUUAUUCUGGUGCCACCGCAGUGCCACCCCAAUGUCAUCAUGCUGCCACCCCAAUGUCCUCCCAGUGCCACCCUGCUGUAUUUCUGGUGCCAUCCUGGUGCCAUCGCAGUGCCACUGUGGUGCCACCCCAGUGCCAUCCUAAUGUCAUCAUGGUGCCACCCCAGUGCCAUCCUAAUGUCAUCAUGGUGCCAUCCCAAUGCCAUCCCUGUGUUACCCUGGCGCCAUUUUGAUCCCAUUUUGGUGCCAUUUUUGUGCCAUCCCAGUUCCAUCCCAAAGCCAUUGUGGUGCCACCCCAUUGCCAUCCUAAUGUCAUUGUGGUGCCACCCCAUUGCCAUCCUAAUGUCAUCAUGGUGCCACCCCAAUGCCAUCCUAAUGUCAUCAUGGUGCCACCCCAAUGCCAUCCUUGUGUUAUUCUGGCCCCACUUUGAUGCCACCCCAGUUCCAUCCCAUUGCCAUUCUGGUGCCAUCCCAAUGCCACCCCAAUGCCAUCCCAGUUUUGUCCCAGUGCCAUUGUGGUGCCACCCCAAUGCCAUCCCAAUACCACCCCAGUUCCAUCCCAAUGCCACCCCUGUGCCAUCCCAAUACCAUCCCAAUGCCAUCCCAGUUCCAUCCCAGUUCCAUCCCAACACCAUUCUGGUGCCAUCCCAGUGCCACCCCUGUGUUAUUCUGGUCCCAUUUUGGUGCCAUUCUGGUGCCAUCCCAAUGCCACCCCAGUUCCAUCCCAACACCAUUCUGGUUCCAUCCCAGUGCCACCCCUGUGUCAUUCUGGUCCCAUUUUGGUGCCAUUUUGGUGCCAUUCCGGUUCCAUCCCAACGCCGCUGUGCUUCCAUCCCGGUUCCACGCCAGCUCCUGGCGGUGCCGCCCCAUGUCCAGCUGCCAUCCCACCAUCACCGCGUCACCGCCGCGUCCACGCCGACGUUGUUGAGGAGGAAGAGCUCCGGGCGCGCGGCGAAGGCCCAGCAGCGCUGUGGGGCGAAGGGGAGACCAUCAGCACCGCCCCGAAAAGUGCGACCAGAGCAACAGCGGCACCGUGCUGUGCCCCCUACCCCCAAAUCCGGGUGUGUGAGUGUGAGUGUGAGUGUGUUGUCACACCCAACGUAGCACUGCUGCACCCAGUGCAGCGUUAUCACACCCUACACGGUGUUAUCACAUUCAACACAGCGUUAUCACACACAACGUGUUGUUGUCACACUCAACACGGUGUUAUCACACUCAGUGUGGUGUUGUCACACCCAGUGUAGCUCUGUUACACCCGGUGCAGUGUUGUCACGCCCUACACGGUGUUAUCACAUUCAACACGGUGUUAUCACACCCAACGUGUUGUUGUCACACCCAACACGGUGUUGUCACACCCAACGUAGCACUGUUACACCCAGUGCAGUGUUAUCACACCCAAUGCAGUAUUGUUAUCACAUUCAACACGGUGUUGUCACACCCAUCGUGUUGUUGUCACACCUGACACGGUGUUAUCACGCCCAGUGUGGUGUUGUCACACUCAAUGUAGCACUGUUACACCCGGUGCAGUGUUGUUGUCACACCCAACGUGUUGUUAUCACACCCAACGUGUUGUUGUCACACUCAACAUGGUGUUAUCACACCCAACAUGAUGUUAUCACACCCAGUGUAGCACUGUUACACCCGGCGCAGCACUGUCACACCCAACACAGCGCUGUCACACCCAACCUGGUGUUGUCACACCCCAUGUAG
rnacentral:lncRNA from 1 species